AGGAUAAUAGUUAAAAAUAACAUUUGAAUUGCAAUCAAAAAGUACUGAAAAUCAGUUUAUCUUA
rnacentral:tRNA from 1 species